UUCUCAGCUCCAAAUCCCGUAGCUUUCCCUUCCUCCAUGAAAGAAUAAAAACCAAACUUCAAAUCCUCAUAACUUUCUCAAUUUGGAUCGGAAUUGAGUGAUUCUUGCGGCCACGGAACGAGGAAAGGAUCCUAUACUAGAUUAUAGAUUCAAUUUGAGGUGUAAUUAAGCUUCCAUGGAGAUGUUUUGAUGGUGAAUCGGAGUUUGAAUCCUUUGAAAAUGGAUAUUCGUGAAUGGGUACGAUAAGGCGAUCUAAUAGCGGACAAGGAGUUCAGGAAGCUUACGCUAUAAUAAGCAAAGAUUUUGGAUAAGCAAGUUUGUAUGUUGCAGGUGUAUGGUCUAUGACACGACAGACUUCUACCCUUGUUCCAGAAGUCUUUAUAUGCAGGAAGAAGGAGUCAACCAAUAGUGCUGCAGUAGGAUCGAGUCCUAGCAUAUGUAUGUUUGUUUGUCAAACAAUUUUCGUGUAUGAUAUAACUCUGAUUAUAAAAGUGUUUUGAGACUUCCGCUAUAAAACUGUUUUCUUUGUUUUGAGAAUGGGCUGUGUUAGGAUGUGGGGCAUUGCAUGAUAAGACCCAAGUUCCUAUGGAACGCUUUGUGUUUUGAAACAGACGUUUGUACACGUCAAAGCUCAAGAAGUUUUUAAUGAAUUUGAUUUGUUUA